rnacentral:rRNA from 1 species
UACGAAGGGGGCUAGCGUUGCUCGGAAUUACUGGGCGUAAAGCGUGCGUAGACGGUAGCGUAAGUCAGAUGUGAAAGCCCCGGGCUCAACCUGGGAACUGCAUUUGAGACUGCUCUGCUCGGGUGCGGAAGAGGGAAGCGGAAUUUCCGGUGUAGCGGUGAAAUGCGUAGAUAUCGGAAGGAACACCAGUGGCGAAAGCGGCUUCCUGGUCCGACACCGACGUUCAGGCACGAAAGCGUGGGGAGCAAACAGG